rnacentral:snRNA from 1 species
GGAUGUUAGGGCAAUCUGGCUGCAACAUCUGUCACCUCACUGAUUACCAGGGUUGAUAUGGCUUAUCUGGCUGGCUAAGUGGGUGUCCCUUCCUCCCUCACCACUCCAUGUGUGUCCCUCCCAAAGCUGUGUUCUCAGUGAAAAAGAAUCACCUUCCUGGAUAGAGGAGGACCAAUUUUUUAGUCAAGGAUAUACACAUAGGUGCACUCUCACUCCCCUUCUAGAACCUCCAAACAAGUGCUCAGGGUCCUUCAGAAGGGCCAGAUCUGGUGAAAUCAAAUGUCCAGGCUGCCCGCCU